AAAAGGGGAAGGAAGGGAUUAGAGGAGAUCUGCUCAGCUGUAGAUCCACAGACGGCAGGGUCGGUGAUGACCUCCACCAUGGCCUGGUUCCCUCUUCUCCUCACCCUCCUCAUCUACUGCACAGGGUCCUGGGCCCAGUCUGAGCUGACUCAGCCGCCCUCAGUGUCUGGGGCCCUGGGGCAGACGGUCACCAUCUCCUGCACUGGUAGUGCCAACAAGAUCGGUACUGUUGGUGUGAACUGGUACAAACAGCUUCCAGGAAAGGCCCCUAAACUCCUCAUCUAUGCUAAUAACAGACGACCCUCAGGGGUCCCUGAACCAUUCUCUGGCUCCAAGUCUGGCAGCACAGGCACCCUGACCAUCACUGGGCUCCAGGCUGUGGACGAGGCUGAUUAUUACUGCUCAGCAUGGGAUGAUAGUCUGAGAGCUCACACAGAGCUCCGGGCCCGUGGGGAAGUGAGACAAAAACCUGCUGUCCCCACACUGAUGCGCUUUCCUUGUGCAGCCCCCACCUUCUGCCAACACAGCUGCUUCCCUAAAACGGAGGUCUGAAAGCCAAACCAGUGAACUUUCUCUUGA